rnacentral:rRNA from 1 species
UGGGGAAUAUUGGACAAUGGGCGAAAGCCUGAUCCAGCCAUGCCGCGUGUGUGAAGAAGGUCUUCGGAUUGUAAAGCACUUUAAGUUGGGAGGAAGGGCAGUAAGCUAAUACCUUGCUGUUUUGACGUUACCGACAGAAUAAGCACCGGCUAACUCUGUGCCAGCAGCCGCGGUAAUACAGAGGGUGCAAGCGUUAAUCGGAAUUACUGGGCGUAAAGCGCGCGUAGGUGGUUCGUUAAGUUGGAUGUGAAAUCCCCGGGCUCAACCUGGGAACUGCAUCCAAAACUGGCGAGCUAGAGUAGGGCAGAGGGUGGUGGAAUUUCCUGUGUAGCGGUGAAAUGCGUAGAUAUAGGAAGGAACACCAGUGGCGAAGGCGACCACCUGGGCUCAUACUGACACUGAGGUGCGAAAGCGUGGGGAGCAAACA